GCUUACGGACACCGCCUGGUUCACGCCCGAUCCGCGAUCUCGGAAGCUAAGAUAGGUUGGGCCUGGUUAGUACUUGGAUGGGAGACCGCCUGGGAAUACCAGGGCGUGGGCU
rnacentral:rRNA from 1 species